ACACAUGCAAGUCGAGGGGCAGCAUGAUUGAAGCUUGCUUCAAUUGAUGGCGACCGGCGCACGGGUGAGUAACGCGUAUCCAACCUUCCGUACACUCAGGGAUAGCCUUUCGAAAGAAAGAUUAAUACCCGAUGGUAUGAUGAGAUUGCAUGAUAGCAUCAUUAAAGAUUUAUCGGUGUACGAUGGGGAUGCGUUCCAUUAGGUAGUAGGCGGGGUAACGGCCCACCUAGCCGACGAUGGAUAGGGGUUCUGAGAGGAAGGUCCCCCACAUUGGAACUGAGACACGGUCCAAACUCCUACGGGAGGCAGCAGUGAGGAAUAUUGGUCAAUGGACGAGAGUCUGAACCAGCCAAGUAGCGUGAAGGAUGAAGGUCCUACGGAUUGUAAACUUCUUUUAUAAGGGAAUAAAACCUCCCACGUGUGGGAGCUUGUAUGUACCUUAUGAAUAAGCAUCGGCUAACUCCGUGCCAGCAGCCGCGGUAAUACGGAGGAUGCGAGCGUUAUCCGGAUUUAUUGGGUUUAAAGGGAGCGCAGACGGGUCGUUAAGUCAGCUGUGAAAGUUUGGGGCUCAACCUUAAAAUUGCAGUUGACACUGGCGUCCUUGAGUGCGGUUGAGGUGUGCGGAAUUCGUGGUGUAGCGGUGAAAUGCUUAGAUAUCACGAAGAACUCCGAUUGCGAAGGCAGCACACUAAGCCGUAACUGACGUUCAUGCUCGAAAGUGUGGGUAUCAAACAGGAUUAGAUACCCUGGUAGUCCACACGGUAAACGAUGGAUACUCGCUGUUGGCGAUAUACAGUCAGCGGCUUAGCGAAAGCGUUAAGUAUCCCACCUGGGGAGUACGCCGG
rnacentral:rRNA from 1 species